rnacentral:ncRNA from 1 species
CAUAGCCGGACAAAGUAACCCUUUGGGUGAAAUCAGCGCACAAGCAGAAGGAGCGCAAGACCUACCCUCUAUGGGGGAAUCAGGCCCCCGAUGUUAUGAGCCGGACGCUUCUUGCAUGGGCGGCUAAUGUGCGAUAACCGCUUUCAUGGCUACUAACUAUGCAGCUACAACCGCACCCUACAAUCUGCUGUACGGGAGGCCAACAUGACAAGUAACGAAC